GUGUCAGCAGCCGCGGUAAGACGUAGGGGGCAAGCGUUGCUCGGAUUCAUUGGGCGUAAAGAGCACGUAGGCGGCUUGCCAGGUCUGAUGUGAAAGCCUGGGGCUCAACCCCAGAACUGCAUCGGGAACCGGUUUGCUAGAGUCUGGGAGAGGGGAGUGGAAUUCCUGGUGUAGCGGUGAAAUGCGUAGAUAUCAGGAGGAACACCGGUAGCGAAGGCGGCUCCCUGGAACAGCACUGACGCUGAGGCGCGAAAGCUAGGGGAGCAAACAGGAUUAGAUACCCUGGUAGUCCUAGCCCUAAACGAUGGACACUAGGUGUCGGGGGUGUCGACUCCCCCGGUGCCGAAGCUAACGCAUUAAGUGUCCCGCCUGGGGAGUACGGCCGCAAGGCUAAAACUUAAAGGAAUUGGCGGGG
rnacentral:rRNA from 1 species